rnacentral:rRNA from 1 species
AACAGAUUUACUUCGGUAAUGACGUUAGGAAAGCGAGCGGCGGAUGGGUGAGUAACACGGGGGGAACCUGCCCCAUAGUCUGGGAUACCACUUGGAAACAGGUGCUAAUACCGGAUAAGAAAGCAGAUCGCAUGAUCAGCUUUUAAAAGGCGGCGUAAGCUGUCGCUAUGGGAUGGCCCCGCGGUGCAUUAGCUAGUUGGUAAGGUAAAGGCUUACCAAGGCGAUGAUGCAUAGCCGAGUUGAGAGACUGAUCGGCCACAUUGGGACUGAGACACGGCCCAAACUCCUACGGGAGGCAGCAGUAGGGAAUCUUCCACAAUGGACGCAAGUCUGAUGGAGCAACGCCGCGUGAGUGAAGAAGGUUUUCGGAUCGUAAAGCUCUGUUGUUGGUGAA